GAACGCGAAAGUCCCGCAAGGGAUCAGUAGAGUGGCAAACGGGUGAGUAACGCGUGGGUGACCUGCCUUCGAGCGGGGGAUAACGUUCCGAAAGGGACGCUAAUACCGCAUAACAUCCUGUCUUUUAAGAGGCGGAGAUCAAAGCCGGGGAUCGCAAGACCUGGCACUCGAAGAGGGGCCCGCGUCCGAUUAGCUAGUUGGUGAGGUAAUGGCUCACCAAGGCUCCGAUCGGUAUCCGGCCUGAGAGGGCGGACGGACACACUGGGACUGAGACACGGCCCAGACUCCUACGGGAGGCAGCAGUGGGGAAUUGUUCGCAAUGGGCGCAAGCCUGACGACGCAACGCCGCGUGGAGGAUGAAGAUCUUCGGGUCGUAAACUCCUUUCGAUCGAGACGAACGGCUUCCGGAUGAACAAUCCNGGGAGAGUGACGGUACCGAGAGAAGAAGCCCCGGCUAACUCCGUG
rnacentral:rRNA from 1 species